AUAUGUGAUGUCAACCCUCAAGGACCUCCUCCCCCUCCUGGCUGUACACGGCAUCCUCCGCCACCUCCUCCCCCGCAUGCUCCUCCCAAUGGCCCUACAGGCAGCACUCAGGGGGCUCGUCGUCUAGGUGAUGCCAACCCUCAAAGACCUCCUCCCCCGCCAGGCCCAACUAGCAGUGCCCUUUGUGCUACUCCCAAUGGACCUACAGGCAGGACUCAGGGGGCUCAUAACCCAGGCGACUACAAUCCAAGUACCAUAACAGGCCGUGCUACUGCAGGUGAUCGUGACGGUCCUACUGCCCCGUUGGAGGCUGCAUCCCUUGCACAAGCUUCUGAUGAUUUUGUGCCCAGGGAUCCUCCAAGGUCUACUACAAAGGGUAGGGCAAAGAG